rnacentral:rRNA from 1 species
CCUACGGGAGGCAGCAGUGGGGAAUAUUGGGCAAUGGGCGCAAGCCUGACCCAGCAACGCCGCGUGAAGGAAGAAGGCUCUCGGGUUGUUAACUUCUUUUAAGAGGGAAGAGCAGAAGACGGUACCUCUUGAAUAAGCCACGGCUAAAUACGUGCCAGCAGCCGAGGUAAUACGGAGGUGGCAAGCGUUGUCCGGAUUUACGGGGUGUAAAGGGAGUGCAGCCGGGAAGACAAGUCAGAUGUGAAAUCCCGGGGCUCAACCGCGGAACUGCAUUUGAAACUGUUUUUCUUGAGUACCGGAGAGGUAAUCGGAAUUCCUUGUGUAGCGGUGAAAUGCGUAGAUAUAAGGAAGAACACCAGUGGCGAAGGCGGAUGACUGGCCGCCAACUGACGGUGAGGCGCGAAAGCGUGGGGAGCAAACAGGAUUAGAUACCCCUGUAGUC